UACGAAGGGGGCUAGCGUUGCUCGGAAUCACUGGGCGUAAAGCGCACGUAGGCGGGUUGUUAAGUCGGGGGUGAAAUCCUGGAGCUCAACUCCAGAACUGCCUUCGAUACUGGCGACCUUGAGUCCGGGAGAGGUGAGUGGAACUCCGAGUGUAGAGGUGAAAUUCGUAGAUAUUCGGAAGAACACCAGUGGCGAAGGCGGCUCACUGGCCCGGUACUGACGCUGAGGAGCGAAGGCCAGGGGAGCAAACGGG
rnacentral:rRNA from 1 species